rnacentral:rRNA from 1 species
AGGAAAUAGAUACCCGGGUAGUCCAUGCCCUAAACGAUCCUAACUGGCUCUAGGGAGUAUCGACCCUCUCUGGGGCGAAAGCUAAACGCGUUAAGUUAGGCGCCUGGGUAGUACGAUCGCAAGAUUAAAACUCAAAGGAAUAGACGGGGACUUGCACAAGCGGUGGAUCAUGCGGCUCAAUUCGAUGGUAAACGAAGAACCUCACCAGGGUUUGAAACCCAGCUGUAAGCCUUUGGAAACAUUGGCCCCCGCAAGGCAGUUGGGCAGGUGAUGCAUGGUCGUCGUCAGUUCGUGGCUUGAGUUGUUCCCUUCAGUGGGGUAACGAACGCAACCCUCGUUGUCUGUUUUAUAUGUCAGGCGAGACUGCCCCCUCACGGGGGAGGAAGGUGAGGAUGACGCCAGAUCAGCAUGUCCCUCUGAUAUCCUGGGCUGCACGCAUGAUACAAUGCCGUCUACAACGGGACGCAAUGCGGUAACGCGGAGCAAAUCCUUAGAAAAGACGGCCCAGUUCGGAUUGAGGUCUGCAACUCGACCUC